CCAGUGACCUAAGUUCAGUGAAUCAGAAGCUCCUCCAUGACAUUUGAAACCCCCCAGGGAGAUUGGAGGUUAUUCAUUAAAGAGACCAAGGCAUGACUGAGACAGGGAAAGGCCAGAGGGGAGAGCAGACGGAGAAAAUGAGAAAGUGAUGUCAAGUCCACCUUAAGAAGUUCCCUGACCAGGGAUUGAACCCAGGCCCUCAGCAAUGAAAGUGCGGAGUCCUAACCACUGGACCACCAGGGAAUUCCCUAAAUCAGAUCACUUCCUUACAUCUUGGUACCUCAACAUAUUCUAGGCUCACCUUGCAUUUUACCUGCCCAGUCCUAGAAUCAGCCUUUAACCCAAGGAUGCCUGGUUUUGUUUAUUGGAGAGUGGUAUUAGGAACCAAGAUCUUUGGAGACACCAGCGCCUCGCAGAUUUGCUCCUGUACCUGUUUCAAAGGAUGAUAAAAUAUCAAAGAGGGAAAAUCCUACGAAUAAAAAAGAAAAUAUGGAGAUGUCACGUCAUACAGAAAAUGUAGGACUCUUGGAACAGAUUUUGAAUAACUAUGAUUCUUUGACAAGAAUAAGUGAAUCUUCAGACAAAAACUUACUAACUAGAUCAAAAAUAGGAUGGAAUCCUGAGAGGAGAAACAGGUGAAAACAAGAGAUUGGAAUAAAAGCUACAUUGAAAGGAAAAAAAAAAAAAAAAAGGUGCUAUAUGUGCUCAUCGCUAAUGGGGUAUCAUGCUUGUAGGCUUCUCAGCAGGCAGUGUCAGGGAAUGUAUGGAUUUGUAUUAACGCAUGUAUAUGCACAUCUAUAUUUAUUUCUGUAUCUAUUUGCGUAUAUAUUAAA